UUCCUACGGGGGGCAGCAGUGGGGAAUAUUGCACAAUGGGGGAAACCCUGAUGCAGCGACGCCGCGUGGGUGAAGAAGUAUUUCGGUAUGUAAAGCCCUAUCAGCAGGGAAGAAGAAUGACGGUACCUGACUAAGAAGCACCGGCUAAAUACGUGCCAGCAGCCGCGGUAAUACGUAUGGUGCAAGCGUUAUCCGGAUUUACUGGGUGUAAAGGGAGCGUAGGUGGCAAGGCAAGUCAGAUGUGAAAACCCGGGGCCCAACCCCGGGAGUGCAUUUGAAACUGUCUGGCUAGAGUGCAGGAGAGG
rnacentral:rRNA from 1 species